AAGGGUAGAGCUCAGCGGUAGAGUGUGUGCUUAGCAUGCAUGAGGUCCUGGGUUCAAUCCCCCAUACCUCCA
rnacentral:tRNA from 1 species